rnacentral:rRNA from 1 species
UAAGGAAUAUUGGUCAAUGGCGGAAGCCUGAACCAGCCAUGCCGCGUGCAGGAAGACGGCCCUACGGGUUGUAAACUGCUUUUGUACGGGAAUAAACCUUGGUACGUGUACCAAGCUGAAUGUACCGUAAGAAUAAGGAUCGGCUAACUCCGUGCCAGCAGCCGCGGUAAUACGGAGGAUCCGAGCGUUAUCCGGAUUUAUUGGGUUUUAAAGGGGUGCGUAGGCGGCUUUUUUAAGUCAGGGGGUGAAAAGACGGCAGCUCAACUGUCGCAGUGCCUUUGAUACUGAAGAGCUUGAAUGCACUUGAAGUAGGCGGAAUGUGACAAGUAGCGGUGAAAUGCAUAGAUAUGUCACAGAACACCAAUUGCGAAGGCAGCUUACUAAAGUGUGAUUGACGCUGAGGCACGAAAGCGUGGGGAUCAAACAGGAUUAGAUACCCUGGUAGUCCACGCCCUAAACGAUGAACACUCGAUGUUGGCGAUAUAUGGUCAGCGUCUAAGCG